GAUUCUGGCUCAGGAUGAACGCUGGCGGCGCGCUUAACACAUGCAAGUCGAACGGUUAAAGCACCUCCGGGUGUGCAUAAAGUGGCGAACGGCUGAGUAACACGUGGGCAACCUGCCCCCCGCACCGGGAUAGCCUCGGGAAACCGUGGGUAAUACCGGAUACUCCGCCACCCCCGCAUGGGGGAGGCGGGAAAGCGUACACGGCGGGGGAUGGGCCCGCGGCCUGUUAGCUCGUUGGCGGGGUAACGGCCCACCAAGGCGAUUAUGGGUAGCCGGGUUGAGAGACCGACCGGCCAGAUUGGGACUGAGACACGGCCCAGACUCCUACGGGAGGCAGCAGUGGGGAAUCUUGCACAAUGGGCGAAAGCCUGAUGCAAGCGACGCCGCGUGCGGGAUGAAGGCCCUCGGGUUGUAAACCGCUUUCAGCAGGGACGAGGCGCAAGUGACGGUACCUGCAGAAGAAGCCCCGGCUAACUACGUGCCAGCAGCCGC
rnacentral:rRNA from 1 species